rnacentral:rRNA from 1 species
UAAGACGAACCGUGCGAACGUUGUUCGGAAUCACUGGGCUUAAAGGGCGCGUAGGCGGCUUGCCAAGUCAGGGGUGAAAUCUUUCGGCUUAACCGGAAAAUAGCCUCUGAUACUGGCGAGCUCGAGCGAGGUAGGGGCCGUUGGAACUUCCGGUGGAGCGGUGAAAUGCGUUGAUAUCGGAAGGAACGCCGGUGGCGAAAGCGAACGGCUGGACCUCUUCUGACGCUGAGGCGCGAAAGCCAGGGGAGCAAACGGGAUUAGAUACCCCGGUAGUCCUGGCCCUAAACGAUGGGUACUAGGUAGUGGACUAGACAUGGGUUCCCUGCCGAAGCAAAAGUGUUAAGUACCCCGCCUGGGGAGUAUGGUCGCAAGGCUG